CGGGUGAGUAACACGUGAGUGACCUGCCUUUUAGACUAGAACAACUUACCGAAAGGUGAGCUAAUGCCGGAUGAGUUAUAUAAGUGCAUGUUUAUAUAGGAAAAGUUGGGGAGACCUGACGCUGAAAGAUGGACUCGCGUCCCAUUAGCUAGUUGGUAGGGUAAUGGCCUACCAAGGCGACGAUGGGUAGCCGGCCUGAGAGGGUGGCCGGCCACACUGGGACUGAGACACGGCCCAGACUCCUACGGAAGGCAGCAG
rnacentral:rRNA from 1 species